rnacentral:rRNA from 1 species
AUGAAGGGCGUAUGGUGGAUGCCUUGACUCAAGUGAGCGAUGAAGGACGUAGCGAUCUGCGAUAAGCCUCGGGGAGCUGAUGAGCAAGCUUUGAUCCGGGGAUUUCCGAAUGCGGCAACGCAUCUCGAUUCAUAUCGGGAUAUUACUGUCUGAAUUCAUAGGACAGUGAAGCGUACCCAGGGAACUGAAACAUCUUAGUACCUGGAGGAAAAUAAAUCCAAAAGAUUCCGUCAGUAGUGGCGAGCGAAAGCGGAGAAGCCUAAACCGAUUGUUUUGUUAGCUGAACAAUUCUGGAAAGUGAGACCAAAGAGGGUAAUAGUCCCGUAAGCGAAAACGAAACAACUUUAUUGUUAUUAUUCUCAAGUAAGGCGGGACCGGAGAAAUCCCGUCUGAAGCCGGGGCCACUAUAGCUCCAAGGCUAAAUAUCACUUGAGAUCGAUAGCGAACUAGUACCGUGAGGGAAAGGUGAAAAGAACCCCGAUGAGGGGAGUGAAAUAGAACUGAAACCAUAUGCUUACGUAGAGUUGGAGCCCCGACGCAAGUCGGGGUGACAGCGUGCUUUUUGCAGAACGAGCCAACGAGUUAAUUUUAUGCGGCAAGUUUAACCCAGCAUUGAAUUUAUAAAGUAUGGGGAAAACGUAGUGAAAGCGAGGCUUAAUCGCCGAAAAUAAGUCGCAUGGAUUAGACCCGAAGCCGGGCGAGCUACAUAUGAGCAGGGUGAACGCAGAGUAACAUCUGCGGGAGGCCCGAACCCACGCGCCGUACAACACGCGGGGAUGACUUGUGUGUAGAGGAGAAAUUCCAAUCGAGCUCGGCCAUAGCUGGUUCUUCCCGAAAUAGCUUGAGGGCUAGCGUCGGAUAAAUGAUCACAGGAGGUAGAGCUACUGAAUGAGGGAUCGUGGAGCAAUCCUAGGUCUCUCAACCAAACUCCGAAUGCCUGAUGAUUUUAUCCCGACAGUCAGAACGUGGGGGCUAAGCUUCACGUUCGAGAGGGAAACAGCCCAGAUCGCAGUCUAAGGUCCCUAAAUCUAUGUUAAGUGGUAAAGGAAGUGAAGUCUCCGAGACACCUAGGAGGUUGGCUCAGAAGCAGCCAUCCUUUAAAGAGUGCGUAACAGCUCACUAGUCUAGAGAUUUCGCGCCGAAAAUUCAACGGGGCUCAAACAUAGUACCGAAGACGCGGACUCCAGCGCUUGCGCUGGUUUGGUAGGGAAGUGUCCUCAUCUGCUGCGAAGCGGAAGGCGUGAGCCACCGUGGAGCGUUGAGGAGUAAGAAUGUUGGCAUGAGUAACCGCAAUGUGAGUGAGAACCUCACACGCCGAAAGUCCAAGGUUUCCUGGGCAAUGUCGAUCAACCCAGGGUUAGGCGAUCCUAAGGCGAGGCCGAAAGGCGUAGUCGAUGGACAGCCGGUUAAUGGAGUGACGUACUCUAGUAGUCUCUGCCCCUUAUUGGAUUGGGGUAGGCGCAUUGAGGACGUUCGCGAGGAAAAUCCCGCGAGCACAAAUCCAAGAUGCGACUGGAAGUCCGAUUUAUCGGGCGAACGGAGAUGAGCAGGGUACCAGGAAAAACUUCUAAGGUUAAUAAUAUUGCGUCCGUACUUAAAACCGACACAGGUGGACAGGGCGAGUAGCCCAAGGCGAACGG